AUUGAACGCUGGCGGCGUGCUUAAGACAUGCAAGUCGAACGCAGUCUUCGGACUGAGUGGCGCACGGGUGAGUAACACGUAACUGACCUACCCCCAAGUCGCGAAUAACCAGCCGAAAGGAUGGCUAAUACGUGAUGUGAUGAUCCGCUGUGGCGGAUCAUUAAGGACUUGAUCGCUUGGGGAUGGGGUUGCGUUCCAUCAGCUAGUUGGUAAGGUAAAGGCUUACCAAGGCAACGACGGAUAGCCGGCCUGAGAGGGUGGCCGGCCACAGGGGCACUGAGACCCGGGUCCCACUCCUACGGGAGGCAGCAGUUAGGGAUCUUCCACAAUGGGCGCAAGCCUGAUGGAGCGACGCCGCGUGAGGGAUGAAGGUUCUCGGAUCGUAAACCUCUGAACCAACGACGAAAGACCCGACAAGGGAGAUGACGGUAGUUGGGUAAUAGCACCGGCUAACUCCGUGCCAGCCGCCGCCGUAACAC
rnacentral:rRNA from 1 species